UUUGACAGUUUGACUACCUUACCGACAUUCGACAUCGACACGAAACUGUUUCACUGUUAGUUUUCGGUUUCGAUCGGUGAUGGUCAGGUGACAAAGGUGUGCUCUGACAGAUAUAAAGUAAUCUUUAUUAGUGACAGCUGCAAAAAAGCUAAAUUAGUAACAGAAAAGCGUUAGACAAAGUGCUUGAACGGUGAAUAACUCUCAACAACUGUUAUAUCUGUUUGUUCCACGUGGUUAUUUAGAUACCGAACUUUCUUACUUGAUCAACAAUGCAUCAGUGGCCAUCGCCACCGAAAGUGAAUAGCAGCAGCAAACCUGUGUUAACUAACGGAGCAAUUCCGGCCAUUAUUGAGAAAAAUGGACUUUACAACGAGACACCCGUUCUGCAAGUUCUUGACUUCAGAGGGUUACUCCAGGCAACUAACAAUAAUCGCUAUAAAAUUGUUCUCUCCGAUGGGAAAUAUUCCUACGCGUUUGCGAUGCUUUCAGCUCAACUCAAUCACUUGAUUGCGGAUGGGAAAUUGGAGAUUUUUACCGUUGUAAAAGUCGUGAGAUUUACUGUCAACUCGGUUAUUGCAAAGGCUCCUGCGACAGACAAAGUUUACAACAAAAUAAUCACUCUUCACGAUGUAGAGCUGUUGGUCUCUGGAAAAGAAAUAGGGGGGAAAUUGGGAAAUCCCAAAGUGUUUAGUUACGGUGAAGAGGUACCAGAAGAUCUGCUGACACAUCCUCUAAAGCCAGUAUGUUUGGGAAAUACCAGCGUCGAACGGAUACGACCGGGAUUGAUUUGCGUUCGCAGCCAGUGGGAGAAGCUGCGAAUGACAGAUAAAUGUUUAUCUGGAUUAUCUGCGUCAAGUAAUGUGCAGACGAAAUCAUUUGGACAGUUAUUAGAGCAGCCACAGAAGCCAACACAAUCCUCUUUUUUGGGAAUAAGUCCUGCAGGUUCCAAUUUUAGACACCCAACAACCAACAAAUCCGCUUCUCCAUUAAUCACACAACCACCCAACAUGAGCGACUUGAGUGCACAGCAGACACAAAGCGUUUCAAGUACUCAGAAGAUAAUAAACGCGGUUUCGACUUCAAACGAAAGCAUGGAAUACAUCGUCAAUUUCUUGAUUGAUGGCCAACAGUACCAUUUGAAAGCCUCCUUCACCAGGUCCAGUAAGAAAAUUCUUGGGUCGCUAACACUGUCGCAUCCAUCAUCAAAACCCCGAACAAUGGUAAAAGGCGGAAAACAUGUAGCGAGUCCCAUAAAAGAAAACGAUGAUUUGAAUAGACCGCGCGCUGUUUGGGCCAACUUGAACGGAGAGCAACACAAAUUUUGCCAUUUAAAGAAGUCUUGGAUUUCGGACCGCUACUGGGUGUCGGAACAGUUUGAUGGCAGUUUUCUUCUUCAGCCCCAUUUUGAAUGUAACACGUGGAAACCGUUGACUUGUCUUCUCUGGAUCGAGUUUGACACUUACAGUGGCGGAGAGAGGAACGCCCUCAAACAACUAACUGAAUUGUUCGUCCAGCAGAAUCAGUGCGAUGUCCAGUUUAACUUUGAAGGUGAUCAACACCUUGGCGGCCAUUCACACAUACUGGUGGCCAGGAGUCCGGUUUUUGCCGCAAUGUUCCAGCACGAGAUGAAGGAGACGAAGACGGGCCAAGUCAGCAUUCCAGACAUCCAGCCAGACAUUUUCAAGCAGUUGCUUCAAUACAUUUACUCGGGCCGGCUUUCAUUACCACUGACGGAAACCACUGCCCAGCGGCUGUUUGAAGCGGCCGACAAGUACGACAUUGGUGAUUUGAAAGAAGAGUGUGUCAGUUUCCUAUUGACCUGCGUCCGAAUGGAUACGGUGAUUAAUUUGAUGGCCUGGGCGCACCUUCACUUCGUGGACGAACUGAAACAACUAGCUCUCAAGUUCACGGUUUUGAACGCUAAGGAAGUUUGUAUCCUGAAAGAUUGGGAGAUGCUGACCAAGAACUAUCCGCACUUGUGUGUGUUGGUAACGCGACACAUUACCGACAGGAUGUCCAUUUCCUGGAACGACGAAGAAGAACUAAUUUGUUCGGGUAUUAAUUGCCUGUGAGUUUUCUGUCAAUCACAAAUAACACUUGAUAACUCAAGAAAUUUAUCCUUAACUCAUAACGAAAAUGUGCCCCAUCACUGUUAUUGCAAAUAGGAUUUUUUGAAUUUCUGUUUUUAAAAGGUUAUUUCACGGGAUCUCACUCAUUUUCUUUUUUUUUCUCUUCUGAGAAGUAAAUAAACCCAAUCACUAUCCCCUCUUAAGUCUUAUUAUUCCAUUCCAUGAUACUACGACAUUAGUUGGAACUUAUUGCGUCAUCCUAAUCAGUGUUGCUGUCUUUAGCUUUGCAGGAUUGCAGCUAAGAAUUUCCCUUCUCAAAUGAUGAUCUUUUUCUAAAAAAUGCUACAACUUUUUAGAAAGCUGAUUUAAGUGAUUUUGAUCUUAACUGGAAAUGAUUAAACCUUCCAUGUGUAAUAUUUAACUCAUUGAUUUCACAAAUCUGAGUAGCUCAGACUCGAUUCCAUCUUGAGAAGGCGGAGCUUCCGUAAGCCCCUCCCCCAUCCAUCUUUUCGCCAGUCUUAAAAUGCCCACGGGGUAAAUGGAAGAUUUGGAUUCCCUUCCUUUCCUGUUAAACCUCUUUACUUGGAAACGUAGACCUUGCGAUUACAUCAGAGUUUCGUUUCAAUUUGACCAACUCAGUCGUCCACUCGCGUUGUCACAGUUAAUUGCUAAUUCUUCUCCGACUCUCGCCGAACUAAAGAAUUAUUUUGGUUGAUGGCUAGUGAUUUUGGAAAUCCCCACACAUUUGUGUGUAAGUUAGACUAUUUUAAUAUUUAAAAUAAGUAUGAUAGUAGUGGCUCUUCGAAAUGACGCCGUGCCAUUAAAAGCUCGACAAAAAGGCGGUUUUUAUCUUGAAUGCUCAAACGUUUUAUCUCGGGUGGUAUCGUUCAUGUCCGUAGUUUUCAAGUGUUUUUUAUUUGUUGUUUCACUUUUCUAGUUGUAACUUUCCACCUGGUUGCAUAGUGCAUAGUGUAAAUCUCACAAAUUUUGGAGGAUUUCGUCGUACAAACCCGUUCACAUUCGUUGAUCCUAUUUCGGGAAACUAAAAACGUCAUGGCUGUUUGCUCGUCUUUUUUUACUGUGCCAGCAUCCUUUGGUAGUUUGCCUACGAUCCGUCGUGAAGAGAAUGAUAACAGGAAAGAACCAGAGGUUUGCGUUGAACGGAUUCGAUCGGGACUCUACUGCAUGCACAGCAAGUGGGAAAAGCCGCAAUGCAAAUCCAAUGACGAUUCGAUGGGUGCAUGUAAGAAAUGUGAUGAGAUGAUGCCCUCUUCCACUCUAGUGGACUCUGUUGUCCAGCCUCAACUUUCAUCAGAGAUUGGUCCGACUGGUUUAUUUGGCAGGCCACGGGAGCAAGCAGUUAAAUUGACUUUUCAAGUUCCAGCGAGCC